GUCGAAGACCAAAUCGCUCUGAAUGUGCUGAUCUUGCAGGAUCUCAAACGCUAAGCAGGGUUAAGCCUGGUUAUUACGUCAAUAGGGGAGGGGGUGGGGGUGCAUGGGAGUACUAGGUGCUUUAGGCU
rnacentral:rRNA from 1 species